GGCCAGGCCUGCGGCAAAGCGCUGGCGGGCCAGGUUGCGGGCCCGCCCGGCCUGGCUCAGGGCCAGGUUCGAUUCCCGGGCCUGGCCG
rnacentral:tRNA from 1 species